rnacentral:rRNA from 1 species
AUUGAACGCUGGCGGCAUGGCUAAAACAUGCAAGUCGAACGCGAACGUGGGGCUUGCUCCACAAGUAGAGUGGCGAACGGGCGAGUAAUGCAUUUCUAACGUACCCCAGGGCCGGGGAUAGCUCAUCGAAAGGUGAAUUAAUACCCGAUAAACCCGCCUGCUGAAUGGCAUGGCGGGCAAAGGCUUGUCUACCCUGGGAUCGGGGAAUGUGCUAUCAGGUUGUUGGUGAGGUAACGGCUCACCAAGCCUUAGACGGCUAGCGGGUGUGAGAGCACGGCCCGCCGCAUCGGGACUGAGACACUGCCCGG